rnacentral:misc_RNA from 1 species
AUUCCGUAGGUGAACCUGCGGAAGGAUCGUUAAGGAAUCGCCCCGUUUUUUAUAAAUGGGUUCUAUUCCCAAACCGUGUAUACAUACCUUUGUUGCUUUGGCAGGCCGCCUCCGGGCGUCGGCUCCGGCUGAUAGUGCCUGCCAGAGGACCCAAACUCUGUGUUUAGUGAUGUCUGAGUACUAUAUAAUAGUUAAAACUUUCAACAACGGAUCUCUUGGUUCUG